rnacentral:antisense_RNA from 9 species
UGUUAUGGCGGCCGUGCGCGGGCAUGCUUCGGCAUGGCCGGGCUUCUAGGGACUCGGAUUCUCACCCCGCGUACGGCUGCCACCCUC